GUUUGAUCAUGGCUCAGAUUGAACGCUGGCGGCAGGCUUAACACAUGCAAGUCGAGCGGGGGAAGGUAGCUUGCUACUGGACCUAGCGGCGGACGGGUGAGUAAUGCUUAGGAAUCUGCCUAUUAGUGGGGGACAACAUCUCGAAAGGGAUGCUAAUACCGCAUACGUCCUACGGGAGAAAGCAGGGGAUCUUCGGACCUUGCGCUAAUAGAUGAGCCUAAGUCGGAUUAGCUAGUUGGUGGGGUAAAGGCCUACCAAGGCGACGAUCUGUAGCGGGUCUGAGAGGAUGAUCCGCCACACUGGGACUGAGACACGGCCCAGACUCCUACGGGAGGCAGCAGUGGGGAAUAUUGGACAAUGGGGGGAACCCUGAUCCAGCCAUGCCGCGUGUGUGAAGAAGGCCUUAUGGUUGUAAAGCACUUUAAGCGAGGAGGAGGCUACUUUAGUUAAUACCUAGAGAUAGUGGACGUUACUCGCAGAAUAAGCACCGGCUAACUCUGUGCCAGCAGCCGCGGUAAUACAGAGGGUGCGAGCGUUAAUCGGAUUUACUGGGCGUAAAGCGUGCGUAGGCGGCUUAUUAAGUCGGAUGUGAAAUCCCCGAGCUUAACUUGGGAAUUGCAUUCGAUACUGGUGAGCUAGAGUAUGGGAGAGGAUGGUAGAAUUCCAGGUGUAGCGGUGAAAUGCGUAGAGAUCUGGAGGAAUACCGAUGGCGAAGGCAGCCAUCUGGCCUAAUACUGACGCUGAGGUACGAAAGCAUGGGGAGCAAACAGGAUUAGAUACCCUGGUAGUCCAUGCCGUAAACGAUGUCUACUAGCCGUUGGGGCCUUUGAGGCUUUAGUGGCGCAGCUAACGCGAUAAGUAGACCGCCUGGGGAGUACGGUCGCAAGACUAAAACUCAAAUGAAUUGACGGGGGCCCGCACAAGCGGUGGAGCAUGUGGUUUAAUUCGAUGCAACGCGAAGAAC
rnacentral:rRNA from 1 species